UACGUAGGGGGCAAGCGUUGUCCGGAUUUAUUGGGCGUAAAGAGCGUGUAGGCGGCCAGGUAGGUCUGCUGUGAAAACUCGAGGCUUAACCUCGAGCUGUCGGCGGAAACCAUCUGGCUAGAGUCCGGAAGAGGAGAAUGGAAUUCCCGGUGUAGCGGUGAAAUGCGCAGAUAUCAGGAAGAACACCUAUGGCGAAGGCAGCUCUCUGGGACGGUACUGGCGCUGAGACGCGAAAGCGUGGGGAGCGAACAGG
rnacentral:rRNA from 1 species